rnacentral:lncRNA from 1 species
AUGGCAGAGGCAGGGCAGUGCAGGACGUCGGCAGGACCUGUCAGGGUGUCACUUCAUCUCUUGCACACUUUGUUAGAGGCUGACAGCCAGCUUGCCAUUACCAUUGCAGGGCCAAUUAUCUCUGCAUUGCAGGAACAUGCCCCACUUGUCACCCACCCUUCCUCUCCCACCUGCCCUUCCGCUAGGGAUCAUUAUAAUGAUUUUGCACACACGUGCAGCUGCUCAGCUCAGUGGAUUAAACCUCAGCUAUGGGUUCCUCAAACCUGUCACCAUGGGCAGGACUACUGCAGAGCAGAGGAGAAAAAGGGCAGCCCGAGGGAGGAAGCCGACCCCACAGCUCCCCAAAAACGGGGACGAAGGAUGCAGGUGGAAGCACAAAGAGAGGAGGCUGAGGAUCAGCAGUGAGGCACAGGCAUCUUUUCCAGCCCAUCCUCUAAGACAACUAAGGUCUCUCAUCCAGAUGCACGUUCUCCCAUGUUCCCUCUGAGCAAAGGAAGAGCAUUGCUGCUGCAGCCCCUGCCAGCCCUCAGCAGCCCCAGGAACUGAAGCAACUCUGAACAUUCCUGAACAUCCCUUAUUUUUCAGCAAGUUGGGCAAGGCCAGUCUCCUCUGGCAUCUGUGUGUCCAAAUAAGCAAACUUUCUAUAAAUCCUUCCAUAAACAUGUAAUCUGUACUGCAUCAAAGUCUCCUUUGGUAUAAUACCUAAAAGAGGCUUUCACAUGAGAAAAAUAUAGGCCAGUCUCUUGAUGUUUGGUGCUGCAUGGUUAGUCAACUCAAUCUCACUAAUGUCCAAUAAGUAAAGGAUAUUUUUGACAAGUCCUGACUAGGCUGAGAUACACAGAAAAGUAAUAAAACAUAUUUCAAAAAGAGAUCUGUUAUAUUU